CUUUUUCCACCGGAGCUUGCUCCACCGGAAAAAGAAGAGUGGCGAACGGGUGAGUAACACGUGGGUAACCUGCCCAUCAGAAGGGGAUAACACUUGGAAACAGGUGCUAAUACCGUAUAACAAUCGAAACCGCAUGGUUUUGAUUUGAAAGGCGCUUUCGGGUGUCGCUGAUGGAUGGACCCGCGGUGCAUUAGCUAGUUGGUGAGGUAACGGCUCACCAAGGCCACGAUGCAUAGCCGACCUGAGAGGGUGAUCGGCCACAUUGGGACUGAGACACGGCCCAAACUCCUACGGGAGGCAGCAGUAGGGAAUCUUCGGCAAUGGACGAAAGUCUGACCGAGCAACGCCGCGUGAGUGAAGAAGGUUUUCGGAUCGUAAAACUCUGUUGUUAGAGAAGAACAAGGAUGAGAGUAACUGUUCAUCCCUUGACGGUAUCUAACCAGAAAGCCACGGCUAACUACGUGCCAGCAGCCGCGGUAAUACGUAGGUGGCAAGCGUUGUCCGGAUUUAUUGGGCGUAAAGCGAGCGCAGGCGGUUUCUUAAGUCUGAUGUGAAAGCCCCCGGCUCAACCGGGGAGGGUCAUUGGAAACUGGGAGACUUGAGUGCAGAAGAGGAGAGUGGAAUUCCAUGUGUAGCGGUGAAAUGCGUAGAUAUAUGGAGGAACACCAGUGGCGAAGGCGGCUCUCUGGUCUGUAACUGACGCUGAGGCUCGAAAGCGUGGGGAGCAAACAGGAUUAGAUACCCUGGUAGUCCACGCCGUAAACGAUGAGUGCUAAGUGGUUGGAGGGUUUCCGCCCUUCAGUGCUGCAGCUAACGCAUUAAGCACUCCGCCUGGGGAGUACGACCGCAAGGUU
rnacentral:rRNA from 1 species